rnacentral:lncRNA from 1 species
GUGAUAUAUCGUUUGUUUCUAUACGUGAAAUAUCAAAAAAAAAAAAAACACAUAAACUGUCCUGUCAAAGUAAAUGGAGAUAGCGUCAAAAGCAAGGCAGAAACACUGUGUUGUGCUUUUCUGCUGUUGUUGUAGCAAUAUAUUGAUGUGUGCACCAUGACCAGGACCAUGUUUGCUGAGUACCAGAGUCAAUAGCUGCUCAGCAUCCUGGGUAAAUUCCCAUCAUUACAUCUCACCAACUUCUUCACAUAGGCAGCAUCCUCUCCUUUCUGUUCACUUCUGCUUGGCAAUCAAUUUAGGGAUUUUGAAAUGUAUGCAGAGGCAGAGAUGGUAUAUCGAUCCCUAAAAUUCAUGUAUCAUCAAUGGUAGCUAAUGAUUGCUACCUAUAACUCCUGCUGCAAUGGACACAAAGAAUACCUAUUGGCUGAUUUUCUAUUUUUUGAGUGAGUGGAUUGGGAGGUAUUUUCAGUUUUAAGGAAUCAAUCGAGUAUUUCAACCAACGAGGGCAGGAAAAUUAUGUAAGAUGCUUUCCAGUGGUUUGAGUAUCAAGAAAAUCUUAUGUUAAAAGAGGCAUUAAGUUUCACAUUAUCAACUAUUAUAAGGAAGAAUCUUCUCUAUGCUUGUUCUUUUACACUUAAUGCCCAAACUUAUCUCCUUUUCUCUCCCAACCCUGUCUCUUCAUCUUUCUCCAUAGUAUUAUUUUGCCUUAUAAUAUUUGUGUUCAAAAUACAAUACUUUUCUUCAAGCAAGCAAGAAUGGAAACAAAUCUGCCUGUGGCACCCAGCAUGUGCUUUCAAUUCCAGACAUGCCUUUUGCAUGUGGUUUUUCGUAUGUAAUGAUGACUCUGAGGUCAGACCCAUCAGGUUUCCUAUUUCUCAAAUCACUGAACUAACAAACUGCAGCCUCUCACUUAGCAUGUUGGUCAAAACAACACUGUGUUUCUGCUCUGCCUUUUCAAUAAGCGCGUGCUUUCCCUUUGCACUCCAUGGAAAUGAAAAACACGUUUCUCUACCAAACCACUACCCUAUAUCAAGCAGACACACACAUCAUGGUCCAGUGUGGUUACUAUCUUUAUAUUAUAAGACAACCCUACAACUGAUGAUUGGAUAAACCAAAAUAGAGAAUAAACUUGCACAAUAAGAGAGGUUUGAUAAGUCUGUAGAUUUUGACAUAGUUUGGGAUUUGGGGUUUACAUAUGUAAUGAUUUCAUAUUCCAAAUUCUUUGACUAAGCACUUUUAUACUUUUAAAAUGCUAAUGUAUUAGUUCAAAUUCUAUUCUCAGAUUGGAAAUCUUCAAUUAUGCAUAGCAUUUUAAUUUCCUAAAUGUUUAAUGUAUACACAUUAACAAACAAAACUCCAGCAAUAACAAAGUGACCCCCACAAACUCUACAAAUACUUGUCCCACUGAAUUGGAAAUUGAGAUUACUGUCUGGGCAUUGGAGUCUCAUGAAACCAUCAGUCAGAUAAGCACACUGAGUAGGACCAGCCUGAAGUUUAAUUGAUACAAUGUGAAGGCAAAGUAAAAUAAUAAGCCCAGAAUCCAGGAGCUUAUUCAGGAAAGCUUUUAGAUUUUUCAGGAUGUGACAAAAAUAUUUAGUAAUUGGUGACUAAUGUCGGACAUUUUGGAAUUUCCUAACAAUGAAAAAUGUCAACCAACCUGAGCCUCAUUAAAGGCCAAGGGGAUAUGGACGUGAUUGUGGAUGAGGGAGUUUUAACUUUUUAUGCAGUGAGUGUUUAGCCUACAUAGACACGAAUGCACUCUGUGUGUGUGUGUGUGUGUGUGUGUGUGUGUGUGUGUGUGAAGCCUUUAGAGGUCAGAAGAAGGCUUCAGAGCUUCUGGUGCCAGAGUUAUUGAUGGUUGUGAGCCACCAUGUGAGUGCUGAGAAUUGAACUUGGGUCCUCCAUAACAGCAACAGAUGCUCUCAACAGCUAAGCCAACUGUUCCACUCAGAUCAGGGAUUUUUAAAGACCAAGUGGUCUCAAAAAUAGCUCUAAAAAUUACCAGCAGUAUGAAUAUUUUCUUGUUGUUUAAGCACCCAUGCCUACUUUAUUUCAGCCUCCCUUUCCUUUUUUGGUGAUAAAAUUUAAAGUUUAAGUUUCUAUUGUAUCAUAUGAAUAAUGAGUUAUGAAAUGACUACAACAAGAAUAUUAACAUCACAAAAACUAGAUAUGAAACUCAAAUAUUAACUAUUGAAAUUUUAUUUUCAGUGUUUGGUGCAAGACAAACAUCCUCAUAUAUAUGAAAAUCAAUUUCAGCCCAUCAGAUGUGUUGAAAGAAUUGGUUUUACUAUGUAGAAAUAAUUGUUACAAUUUCAUUAUCAUUAAAUUCAAUAUGGAAGAGCACUGGGGCAACUUGCCUCCAAGGUUUAUAUGCAGGUCUCAAAGGAGACAUAUUCACUUCAGUUUUCUGUCAUGAUAAUAAUGAUGUCUCCUUAUAUGAAUUAAUCCCAGAAAAUUCACCAUCAGUGCAUGACUUCCCACUACUCAAUACCUAGGUAUUUAUGUUGCUGAAUUUCUAGUUUGAAAUUCCAUAGCUGGUUUCUGUUGUCUUGGAUAAUCCCUAUGUAUAUACUCAUAUUGUCAAAUUUUCUGCCUUCAACUAUAUAAGCAUAAUGAUUAAAUCAUAAAUUAUAUUUGCUGACAAUGCCUCUAGAAAAAUGUGUUAAAUGAAUAUCUGCCUUCUUGUACUUUGUUCUGUUGAAGUUACCCAAUAUUCUGGAAUCAACUCUAAAAUUACUUCUUAAAUUAUAAAUGAUUACUUCUUUAUAUGACGUUUGUAUUUUAGGCAAGAUUUAUGUUACUAUGGGCUAGGGAUACAUCUCAGAUACAAACACUUGCCUAACAUGCUCAUCUUCACCUCUCAGCACUCAAAAAUAGUAAUGAUAAUAAUUUUUUUGUAUUUAUUCAGCGAUCUUCCUUAUUACAAAUCCUGACUUCAAACUGGGUUUGUUAUUGUCUCCCCUCCCAAAAUAUGGAUUUCUAAAAGACUAUGGAGCUGGAUGCCUAUACGAUGCCAAAGUGAUGCUUGAGCCUUGUUUUAUGCCUCAUAACAACAAUGUCAGUUGGAGUUUGGCUCUAUACUUAAAAGGAUCAAGCAACAGAGAGCUAAAAUGUAUGGGUGGAAGUUACCAGCAGGGGCUUGUCCGAACUGUGUCUUACCUUUGUCCUCGGCGUUUCUCAUCAACACCCAUCUCGGGCAGGGCAGGCAUUGCGAUGGACACCUGCAAGGGUAGUCGGCACUUUCUUGCUGAUGUUCACAGAUGCCCGUGCCCCUUCACCUUCAUCUGAAGGGUGCAACCUUGCGACAGAGGAGCAAAAGGAAACAGACUGGUGCUUAGCAUGCUUCCUAGUAAGAUGAAUGCCAUGAGUGGUUGUCUUUAAAUAUUGGUCUCAUAAUUCCCAAAUUUAUGAAACCAAAUAGCUUGUAAGUUUCUAGUCAUUGCAUUUUGAGAUGAGUGGGGUUUGACAGCAAUAUUCUUUAUAGCACUGUGUAAAAUGGCAUUAGUAAAAUUGCCAUACCUUUAAUAUUUCUUUAUAAAUGUGUCAUAUUUUUAAGCAAAUGUCAUUUACAUUUAAAUCGUGUGUCACUUUAUAUAUAUACUUGCUCGGAUUAUGUGACAUUUGAUCUCCAAUUAGAGACAUAUACUACAUCUGUGGAUUUGAAUUUAACAUGACAAACAUUUUCCCCACACACAUAAUUUUGACAGAAAGCCAAACUUCAAGUCACCUGUAAUUUAAAAAUCCAAGAUAUGUAGUAUUUAUGUUUAUUAUAUAUGUGCACAUAUAUUAUUUUGUCCUUUAAUAAUAGAAUUUAUGAAAAAUAUCUUUGGAGUUCUUAUUUUAUGCGCUGAACAUAUACCACAUUUCACCAUUUCUGUUUUUGCAUUUAGAUUUCUUGCAACUUUUACUUUCAUUACUCUGAAGGACACGUAAAUGCAUGAUCACUUUCAUUCACAUUGUCAAUUAUUUUAUUGACAAAUUAUAUCAACUUAUUACUAUCAAUUUAUGAGAAUCUAAUUUUCUCCUACGCUAAACAACUAAUAUGCAUAUAUCCAUGUGAAUAUCUAUGUAUAUAUAUAAUUUUACCACUGUGAUAAGUAGCAAAUAGGGGAAACUUUGGUAGUAAGUUUUUUGGCAUCUUUAAUUAUCUGCAGUUUGAAUAUUUUUUCAUAAAUUUUUGGCAUUUAAAUGUUUUGAUGUUUUUGGUAGUUAUUUUAUAGCUUGAAAUGUGAUCGAUACAUGGAUUAACAAAAUGACUGAAGUCUUACUUAUCAAUUACAAGGACCAAAUUCCCCAAUUAUAAAAACAGAAUGGCUGAAUGACAAUAAAAACAGGACCCAACAUCAUGCUGCCUACAAACCCCUACACUUAAGACUCAGGGAGGAAUGGGAUGGGAAGGACCAGGACACCUCCUGUGAGAGAAUGCCUUCUAUAUGUGACAGGGAGCCACCCCCAUGAAAUCUCAACAAUAUGGUCUCACAUCAGGAUAGGUUUUAUUUAUUUUAUUUUAUAGAAUUUAUGAUUUUGUAAUUUUUAUCUAUUGUACUAUUUUAUUAAAUGUUACUGGAUAACUUACAGUUUCACGUUAUUAUAAUUGAACAUUUUCCAUAGUAAUUUCUAAUUGGUUGCUGAUGGCAUUUAGAGAAUCUCUUGUUUAAUACAUCUUUGAAUAACCUUUAAAAACUAUUAAAAUCAGAAUAACCAUGGGAUAGUUCUUUUUAAAAUUUAUUGUAAGUUUUUAUUCUUUCUACAUACCAACCACAGUCCCCCUCCUUCCCAUCUUCCUGUUUUUCCCACAACCCAACCCCCAUAUACUCCUCAGAAAGGGUAGGGGCUCCCAUGUGGAGCUAACAAAGCCUGGCACAUUAAGUUGAGGCAGGACCCAGCCCCUCCCACCGCAUUGAGGUUAGCAAGGCAUCCCAUCACAGAGAAUGGGCUCCAAAAAGCCAGCUCACGCACCAGGAAUCCUGGUCCCACUGCCAGGGUCCCCUCAAACAGACCAAGCUACACAUAUGAACUUUCUUGAUAAACUAUACUAUCAUUUAUACAGAUACAACAGUAGGCAUCCAAUUUUAUUUAGGUUACUUUUGGAAGCAGUUUAGAUUCACAACAAAAUAGAUGAAUGGAAGAUGUAAACUUCCCUUAAAUAUUAUGCAUCCAAAUAGUUUCCAUUAUUAUCAACUUUCUAAACCUUAAUUUUGUUACAAAUGAUGGACAUGCAUUAACACAAACACAUCCUCUAUUACCCAAAGUCCACAGGUAACAUUAGAGAUUACUCCUGGUAUUGUUCAAUCGAUGGGUUUUGAAAAAUGUGUGAUCAUGUAAAUCCAACAUUGUAGCAUUGUACAGAAACAUUUACCUCUUGCAAAAAUUUUCCUGUUUGACCUGUUCAUCCUUUUAUACUAAAUCACUUGACAAUGAAUUUUAAUUUUUUAUUUUUAAAUUAAAAAUAUUAUAUGUAUGUGUUUAUGUACAGCACAAUAAUUCAAUGGACAUAUGUCUUGUGGAAUAUCAAAUGGAGCAAUUAACAUUAUGCAUCAAAUAUAUUUCAUUUCUAUGUGUUGGGAAACUACAGAUUCUCAUCAUUAUUUUGAAACGUAUCAUAAAAAGUUGUAGGCAUCAAGUUACUUUUCUUAUCUAAGACUCAAACUAAUUCUUAUCUAAUAGCAUUGGUAACUGUUUUAUAAAGUCUUCCCUCCCUUCACUAUCCUACCCUUACUCUGCAUUUCUUAGUCCUAGUGACCAGCAUUCCACUUUCUUACAUUAACUUGAUGUGAGGCUUCCACAGUAAGCAAAAAGAACACACUAAUUCUCUUCUCCAAAUCUAUCCAUGUUACUAAAAAUAAAACAUCUUACUUUUUAAAGGCUGAAUUAUAGUCUAUUGUGUGUUUUUAUCAAAACCUUAUCUAUUCAGUUACCUGAUAGUAGACUUCUUGUUGGAUCAGACUAAUGUAAUGAGCAAGGGAGGAGAAUGUUACUUUGAUAUUCAUUUCCUUUGCCAGCAUUGCAACUGCUUGAUCACGUGGUAGUUUUCAGUGUUGUGAAAUCCCACUGUGGUGAAAUCCAUGGUGGCUGUAGUAGUUCAUGUUUCUUCUAGCAGUGUACAAGAGCCCCUUUCUCAUUUUCUUCUUUUAUUACAUAUAAAUUAAACACUCACCUCUCCUUUCAAGACUGCUUUUGCUGUAUUACAAAUUUGGUGCUUAUUUUUAUUUUCAAUAUUUCAAUAUCUCAAAUAUUUUAAUUAUGAAAUUUGAUCUUCAUCUUAUAUGUUAUAUAGCAGUAUGAUAUUGACGAUACCAAAACUUAAGGACUUUCCAGCUAUUUUCCGUGUAUUGAUUUCUACUUUUAACUUCAUUGACAUAUGCUAGAAAACUCUGUAUCAUUUCUAUUUUCCCAAUCAGUUAAUUGUGCUCUAUGACCUGGGAAUAUAUACUAGUUACUACAUAUAUUUGUAUGUUAAUAAAUACAUAUUUAAAGACCUC